rnacentral:lncRNA from 1 species
GAUACUCAGGGCACACAGCAUAUAGAGUAUUCUUGUUCCGCAAAAAACAGUACCUCUGCUGCUGCUGUACACUCUGCUGCUUCAGAGUCGCUGUUUAACACUGUGGGUUCACCCUUGAAUUCUUCCUGGAUGAAGCCAAGAACCCUCCUGGGCUAAGCCUCAAUUUUGGGGCUUGCCUGUCCUGCGUCAGCAUGAGUACGGACUUUGGGGUUACAAAUAGGUGCAUUUGCAAAUAUGGAAUCCACGAAUGAUGAAGAUAGACUAUCACUGGGUACCACCGGAAUUCUCUGACCUGAUAACUUCAUAUGCAAAUCCUGGCUGGUAAGGAGGAUUGGGAGCAGGUGGAUUGCCGGAAGUCUUAGGCUAGUACUAAGAGUACGGGGUGGGGUGUAGAUACCUGUGUGUGGCUUCCAGUAGGUCAGUACCUGCUGCCUCUACUAGUACUGCUCAUUCAAGAACACCUUUGGCUGAAGAUGGCACCAGGGUCUGGCCAUCAGGCUGCAAUUAAUUUAAAAGUGAUGGAGACUGGCAGGAUCCAGGAUAACCAAGCUCUUGGAGGCUGCUUUUUAAGACAGGACCAAAUCAUGAGAUGAUUUUUAGUCACAUGAAUGCACCAUGUUCUCUCUUACUUCCAGGCUUUGCACAUAUUGUUCUCUCUGUGUGGAACUCCAUACCCUUUCUCUUAUUUUUCUUCCUCCCAUCAUAUUCCCUGCUUUCCACCCAUCACAUCUUGGUCAGUUCUUCCACAUUUAGAUUCCGAGUUUGGAUUAAGUGGUCCAGCUCUAUGCCAUUUAGUAUCCA